AGUGAACGCUGGCGGUAGGCCUAACACAUGCAAGUCGAACGGCAGCACAGUAAGAGCUUGCUCUUACGGGUGGCGAGUGGCGGACGGGUGAGGAAUACAUCGGAAUCUACUUUUUCGUGGGGGAUAACGUAGGGAAACUUACGCUAAUACCGCAUACGACCUACGGGUGAAAGCAGAGGAUCUUCGGACCUUGCGCGAUUGAAUGAGCCGAUGUCGGAUUAGCUAGUUGGCGGGGUAAAGGCCCACCAAGGCGACGAUCCGUAGCUGGUCUGAGAGGAUGAUCAGCCACACUGGAACUGAGACACGGUCCAGACUCCUACGGGAGGCAGCAGUGGGGAAUAUUGGACAAUGGGCGCAAGCCUGAUCCAGCCAUACCGCGUGGGUGAAGAAGGCCUUCGGGUUGUAAAGCCCUUUUGUUGGGAAAGAAAAGCAGCAGGUUAAUACCCCGCUGUUCUGACGGUACCCAAAGAAUAAGCACCGGCUAACCUCGUG
rnacentral:rRNA from 1 species